rnacentral:rRNA from 1 species
GGACUACUGGGGUUUCUAAUCCCGUUCGCUCCCCAUGCUGUCGUGGCUGAGCGUCAGUAUCGAGCCAGGGCGCCGCCUUCGCCUCUGGGGUUCUUCCGGAGCUCUACGCAUUUCACCACUACACCCGGAAUUCCACGCCCCUCUCUCGUACUCUAGCUGGACAGUCUGGCAUACCAUUGCCACGUUAAGCGCGGCCCUUUCAUACACCACUUGUCCAGCCGCCUGCACACCCUUUACGCCCAGUAAAUCCGGAUAACGCUCGCCACCUACGUUUUACCGCGGCUGCUGGCAC